UAAGGAAUAUUGGUCAAUGGAGGGAACUCUGAACCAGCCAUGCCGCGUGCAGGAAGACAGCCCUCUGGGUCGUAAACUGCUUUUAUUCGGGAAUAAACCUACUUACGUGUAAGUAGCUGAAUGUACCGAAGGAAUAAGGAUCGGCUAACUCCGUGCCAGCAGCCGCGGUAAUACGGAGGAUCCAAGCGUUAUCCGGAUUUAUUGGGUUUAAAGGGUGCGUAGGCGGCCUGUUAAGUCAGGGGUGAAAGACGGUAGCUCAACUAUCGCAGUGCCCUUGAUACUGAUGGGCUUGAAUGGACUAGAGGUAGGCGGAAUGUGACAAGUAGCGGUGAAAUGCAUAGAUAUGUCACAGAACACCGAUUGCGAAGGCAGCUUACUAUGGUCUUAUUGACGCUGAGGCACGAAAGCGUGGGGAUCAAACAGG
rnacentral:rRNA from 1 species